AGUAUUUAUUACAUAGCGGAAGUCUUACAAAAUAAGAGAUAAAUAUCGCAGGAUCUAACAUCCAUCCUUAGCGCCAGAAAGCUGACUGGGAGACGCCACCUAGAUCGAAUCGAACUCCUCAUUACUUGACUCCACUUGAACCACCUGUUCUUCUCCUGUGGGGGGGUGUGAGACAGCAAGAGUGAGCUCACAUACGUUCAUAGCUCAACAAGUCGUGGGGAAUAAUGUGCAUGAACUCACCAAAGGUGGGAGUUCAUGAAGUGUAAGGCUGAUCAAUGAAAUAGAGGCUGAGGCUGAGCAUUGCUUUUAUAAGUUGGUCAAAAUUUUAUUAGCAAUUACUAGGUGUAAGUAAAUACCAAACCUUAAUAAUAAUAAAGAAAGUAAUAAUAAAAUAAUCCCAAAUGCGAUGCAAAUGUCCAAUUAAAUUUAAGUUCCAUAAAUUAAUCAUGUGAGGGUCCGAGCCGCUCAUGACCGUGAGCACGGCUAGUAUACUAGUUUUACACUCUGCAGAGGUUGUGCAUCUUUACCCACAAGUCAUGUUACCCAUCUGCCAAGAGAUGACCAAUCCCAUACACCUCUACCGAGGAGGCGAGGCAGGGUAACACUACGAGGCCUUUACAAAGUUCCACUAGCUUCAGAAAUCCCGCUACAGUUUAUAGGAAGCUCCAAUGCAGGGUUCUUGCCUGACCGCCAUCGCAGCAAAAUCAACCCAAGGACCUCCCUACACUGACCACUCCCCUACUGCCCUUGCCCCUUUCGGGUAAGGAAGACCUCCACUAGCUUUUCUAGUUAAUCAGCCAAGGGCGUCCCAUUAUACCCUUGUGGUAGCACUGUUUUCCCGGGUGGUCGCUCCAUGUUCCCAUUAACAUAAUGAUCUUAACAUGAACAGUAAUAAUAAAAGAGAAUAAAAGAGUAAUUAUGAAUAAAGUAUCUUCAUACCCAAAUCCACAUAAAGCAAUAGCAGGUACUACCCAAAGAAAUAUUUCAGUGGUAAACAAGGUAUAAAGAUAGCCAAAACUAGGGUAACCUAUUAGGUCCCAUCAAAAUUAACCUAUGCAGAUCAUUAUAAUUAAUAAGAACAUGGCUGGGAAAAGUAAGUGAUCAAGGGCACAACUUGCCUUCUACGAGCUCCUGCUCAGCUACCUCUACUUGCUGAACCUCAGUUUCCACAGUGGCUUGCUCGUCUACUCGCAUCAACACAAUACAUACAUAGUAUAGCAAAAAUUAACAUUGCACUAAACAUGUAAAUAAAAUACACAGUAAAAAUCUACACAUUAAAAUGAAAUCAUAGGAACUGGAAUCACUAAAUUUGGAGUUAUAGAAUUCAAGUUAUGAAUUUCUUAAGGUUUAAUGUGCUUGAAAUAGGAUUAAAUGAUAAAUUAAUUUUCUUACUGCUUUCAUGUCAAAACAGAGGCACUAAAUGAUAGAGAAUAUUAUUACAAAAUUUUAGAAAUUGGGAUGGUUCAAUUUGGAGCAAAAAUGGAAUUUCUAUGAAUUUUACAAGUUUCUAGAUUUGUUUUUGUAUUAAAAAUGAAUUUCUAUAAAUAUUUCUCUGUUUUUAAACAUCUCUGGACUGGGCCUCGAAUUCCAGAAAGCUCAGGGGCUACGAUAUAAAUUUUUCCUAGACACAGCUUAACCCACUGAUGCAUGGCGAGCUGAAUAUGAAGCACCCCGAGGACUCUUACGCAAGAUGCGCUGGCUGAAGGGGUACGGUGCAGAUCUAGCCGCCCGAUUAGAAAUGGAGGGCUCAGAUUAGAUCUAGGUUUCGCAUGAACCGGUAUGAAGCAGCUACCACCAGAUCAGGAAUCAACGGCCGCAAAUCGACCACGCUACCAGAUACUGCCUGCCAUCAGAUCGAUAACAUACGACACUGAUUUAAUCUCGCGAAUGGAUACGCUCUCUUCUAAUCGCACCCGUCCGAAUUGGAUCGGACGGUAACCAUACCUUCUCCUUUCACUAGCCAGCCCGAGGCGGCGCCAGGAGCUCUCCACGGCGGAGACUCACCGGCGCACCGCCAAAUUCGCCUGUUCUGGCGACAUCGUUCUCAUCGUGGUGCGCAAAAAAAAAAACGAAAUUGAAGCAAGUUCAAUUACAAAGGGGGUGCCUCACCGGAGGGUUAAGCGAUGGCCGAGCGGGUUCACGACGGAGGGUAACUUGGUGUAGUUUCACACCUCCGGCGAGCAAUCUCCACUACUCCCACGGCGCCCCGCGUGCGCGAGUCCCUUCACCAGCACCCAUCUCGGCCACCCUCCCAGUCACCAAGGUCCCGCUCGAUGUGGCCGGCCACGCCUUCGCGGCGGCGCUUUCCCCACUACUCUCUGUUUAGCGGUGGCGAGUCCAUGGACGCGGAGCUCUCGGGGACUGGUUCAAAGGAAGGUAGGGGCACGGUCACAAGCGAUUAAAGGCUUAUAGCGGAGGAAGGACGGGCUUGCGGGGUUGGCCGCAACGGCCACAGCGAGCUCCAAGGCGGCAACUGCGGCAUGCAACCGGAUGCCCGAGGAUACGGUUGACCCCCAACAACCGCAACGACGGGACCGCAGGGAAAUCGCGGCUCAUGCGGACGCCAAAGUGCGGCACCGAGUCCCUUACCAAGACAGCGGGAGAAGAAGAGGGAGAUGAUAGACUCGACCGGUGGGUCCCAUCCCGAAGCCUUCCUGCGCGCGGCGAGUGGCACCAGGUAGCGACUAAGACGGACGAUCUGCGCGCCUGCUUGACCGGAUAAGAAGGG
rnacentral:lncRNA from 1 species